rnacentral:ncRNA from 1 species
AUAGAAUAGAUGAUAGAGACGGAUAUUUAAAAGUUUAUUUAAAGAGAAAAUGUUAAUUGGUGAGAGACAUUAAUAAAUUUAAAUAUUAGAUCACUCUUGAUAUUUUUAUCUGAUAUUUAGGGUAAAACGUAAAACUCAUGCGUUAAAUGAAGAAAGAGCAUAGAAAAGUCUAUGAAGUAAGGUGGUACCGCGAAAAAUCGUCCUUACA